UGCUUGUGCCUUGCGGCCUAUUUCUCAGGCAGCUCCGCCAACGAUCACUCUUUAUGUAGGUGCUCUGAUGUCGGUGCACAUGUAUCUAUGAGGAUCACAUCUUGCUGGUGAGCUGACUCUUAACAUCUUUCCCGCUUGUGAUAAUCUUUCACCUAAAUAUUUUUUUUUUUUUCUUAUAAGAACACGACAUACUCUGUUGGGACUCCCAUCUGCCUGGUAGUCUUUUCCCAUCGCGUACUUCCAGCCCACGUAUGUCUCCAAAUCUGUGAGACUCUCCCUUGAACACCAACCCUGCACCCCAUGCUUGGUGCCACGCAUGCAGAGAGGCCCAGGAGACACGGUGUCCCGUCCCUCCAGCCCUGUUGUGUCACUCAGGAAUAACUUGGAAUGACCUAAGGAUGCAGGAGUCAAGACAGCGGCUCAUGUCCCGAGCUGCUUCUGAUCGGAGGACCAGUGACGGGUUCUGUGCGGGAUAAGUGGCUGCCAUGGCAACGUCUGGCCCACAUUCUGGUCCAGCAGAGCUUUCACUGAACACACGUUCUGGCUGCUGCUUGCAAAGAGAGACUGUGGCAGCUGAUUUUGAUAAGGAAGAGCCACCGUUCAGGCAUUGAAAAACAACACUUCAUAGAACCCAAGGUUGGACUGUAGUCGUUCACGCCAGAGGAAGCAUCUCUUGGUCCCCCCACUCUGUUUGGAGUUGAUGUAUUACCACAUCGUGGCAGUGCGAUGUGUGCAUUUACUCAGGUGAAUUUAGUGGGAAAUAUAUUUUAGUGACAAGCACCAAGGUUUCAUAGAGAUUGAGAAUAAUAUGUCAAAUUGGCCUAGAGACUAACAGCAUUUAGCAUUCACCAAUACAAAAAGCGUUCUUUUAAAUUCUCCAAGGAACCUCAGUGUCUCAUCUGUCAUUUUUAGUUGAGGCAAUAAAAUCCUGUUUGUUUGCAAAAAGGUCACACAGGCCCCACCCAGGGCCUCUACCCUCCUCACCCCGCCCUGCACGACCUGCUGACACCCUUCCCAGGCCUGCAUGGGGUUGGCAGGUGCCCUGAGCUGGGUUUGGUUUCACCCCUAAGAGUCUAGCUUCGCUUUGCUGUGUACCAUUCAUAGGUGUCUACAGAUCUUAUCUGAAUUAAUCAAAUAUAAAGUAAUUCAAAACCA